rnacentral:rRNA from 1 species
CAGUCGAGGGGCAGCAUGGUCUUAGCUUGCUAAGACUGAUGGCGACCGGCGCACCGGUGAGUAACACGUAUCCAACCUGCCGUCUACUCUUGGACAGCCUUCUGAAAGGAAGAUUAAUACAAGAUGGCAUCAUGAGUCCGCAUGUUCACAUGAUUAAAGGUAUUCCGGUAGACGAUGGGGAUGCGUUCCAUUAGAUAGUAGGCGGGGUAACGGCCCACCUAGUCUUCGAUGGAUAGGGGUUCUGAGAGGAAGGUCCCCCACAUUGGAACUGAGACACGGUCCAAACUCCUACGGGAGGCAGCAGUGAGGAAUAUUGGUCAAUGGGCGAGAGCCUGAACCAGCCAAGUAGCGUGAAGGAUGACUGCCCUAUGGGUUGUAAACUUCUUUUAUAAAGGAAUAAAGUCGGGUAUGCAUACCCGUUUGCAUGUACUUUAUGAAUAAGGAUCGGCUAACUCCGUGCCAGCAGCCGCGGUAAUACGGAGGAUCCGAGCGUUAUCCGGAUUUAUUGGGUUUAAAGGGAGCGUAGAUGGAUGUUUAAGUCAGUUGUGAAAGUUUGCGGCUCAACCGUAAAAUUGCAGUUGAUACUGGAUAUCUUGAGUGCAGUUGAGGCAGGCGGAAUUCGUGGUGUAGCGGUGAAAUGCUUAGAUAUCACGAAGAACUCCGAUUGCGAAGGCAGCCUGCUAAGCUGCAACUGACAUUGAGGCUCGAAAGUGUGGGUAUCAAACAGGAUUAGAUACCCUGGUAGUCCACACGGUAAACGAUGAAUACUCGCUGUUUGCGAUAUACGGCAAGCGGCCAAGCGAAAGCGUUAAGUAUUCCACCUGGGGAGUACGCCGGCAACGGUGAAACUCAAAGGA